CCUACGGGAGGCAGCAGUGGGGAAUAUUGGGCAAUGGAGGAAACUCUGACCCAGCGACGCCGCGUGCGGGAUGAAGGCCUUCGGGUUGUAAACCGCUUUCAGUAGGGAAGAAGCGAAAGUGACGGUACCUACAGAAGAAGCACCGGCUAACUAUGUGCCAGCAGCCGCGGUAAUACAUAGGGUGCAAGCGUUGUCCGGAAUUAUUGGGCGUAAAGAGCUCGUAGGUGGUUCGUCACGUCGGAUGUGAAAAUCUGGGGCUCAACCCCAGACCUGCAUUCGAUACGGGCGAUCUAGAGUGUGGUAGGGGAGACUGGAAUUCCUGGUGUAGCGGUGGAAUGCGCAGAUAUCAGGAGGAACACCAAUGGCGAAGGCAGGUCUCUGGGCCAUUACUGACACUGAGGAGCGAAAGCGUGGGGAGCGAACAGGAUUAGAUACCCUGGUAGUCCACGCCGUAAACGGUGGGCACUAGUUGUGGGAACCUUCCACGGUUUCUGCGACGCNGCUACGCAUAGUGCCCGCCGUCGGGAGGUACGAGCGCGAGAGUUAAACGUACUAAAUAGUAAGUUAGUUACGGUCGUUGAGACGUUGCCGACGGACGACCGACCGACGGGGAGGUUAGG
rnacentral:rRNA from 1 species